rnacentral:rRNA from 1 species
GACGUAGGGCGCGAGCGUUGUCCGGAUUUAUUGGGCGUAAAGAGCUCGUAGGCGGCUUGUCGCGUCGACUGUGAAAACCCACGGCUUAACUGUGGGCUUGCAGUCGAUACGGGCAGGCUAGAGUUCGGUAGGGGAGACUGGAAUUCCCGGUGUAGCGGUGAAAUGCGCAGAUAUCAGGAGGAACACCGGUGGCGAAGGCGGGUCUCUGGGCCGAUACUGGCGCUGAGGAGCGAAAGCGUGGGGAGCGAACAGG